rnacentral:rRNA from 1 species
UGAAUACGAGACGCUAAGGCGUCGAAGUAGUGUAUGUCAUACUUCCAAGAAAAGCUUGCACUGUCAUAGAUAAAAAACGCCUGUACCAUAACCGACACAGGUGGGUAGGUAGAGUAUACUAAGGGGCGCGAGAUAACUCUCUCUAAGGAACUCGGCAAAAUAACUCCGUAACUUCGGGAGAAGGAGUGCCUUAUUCGUAAGGUUGCAAUAACAAGAUCCAAGCAACUGUUUAUCAAAAACACAGGUCUCCGCUAAGUCGUAAGACGAUGUAUGGGGGCUGACGCCUGCCCAGUGCCAGAAGGUUAAAGAAGUUGGUUAGCAUUUGCGAAGCUAGUGACUGAAGCCCUGGUGAACGGCGGCCGUAACGAUAACGGUCCUAAGGUAGCGAAAUUCCUUGUCGGGUAAGUUCCGACCCGCACGAAAGGCGUAAUGAUUUGGAUACUGUCUCGGAGAGGGGCUCGGUGAAAUAGACUUGUCUGUGAAGAUGCGGACUACCUGCACCAGGACAGAAAGACCCUAUGAAGCUUUACUGUAACUUGAAAUUGAAAUUGGACUUUAUUCGCGCAGUAUAGGUGGGAGGCGUUGAUUAUAAUCUUGCGGGAUUAUUGGAGCCAUCAGUGAGAUACCACUCUUGUAAUGUUAGAUUUCUAACUUUGAAUCAUUAUCUGGUCAAAGGACAGUUUCAGGCGGGCAGUUUGACUGGGGCGGUCGCCUCCCAAACGGUAACGGAGGCGUACAAAGGUUUCCUCUGAACGGUUAGAAAUCGUAUCUAGAGUGUAAAGGCAUAAGGAAGCUCGACUGUGAGACCUACAAGUCGAGCAGGGACGAAAGUCGGUCUUAGUGAUCUGACGGUACUGAGUGGAAAGGCCGUCACUCAACGGAUAAAAGUUACUCUAGGAUAACAGGCUGAUCUCCCCCAAGAGUUCACAUCGACGGGGAGGUUUGGCACCUCGAUGUCGGCUCAUCGCAUCCUGGGGCGGUAGUACGUCCCAAGGGUUGGGCUGUUCGCCCAUGAAAGCGGUACGCGAGCUGGGUUCAGAACGUCGUGAGACAGUUCGGUCCAUAUCCGGUGUAGGCGCUAGAAUAUUGAGAGGAGCCUUCUUUAGUACGAGAGGACCGAGAAGGACAUACCUCUGGUGUACCAGUUAUCGUGCCAACGGUAAACGCUGGGUAGCUAUGUAUGGAGUGGAUAACCGCUGAAAGCAUCUAAGUGGGAAGCCCACCUCAAGAUAAGUA